rnacentral:rRNA from 1 species
UGACUGCCGGUGACAAACCGGAGGAAGGUGGGGAUGACGUCAAAUCAUCAUGCCCCUUAUGAUUUGGGCUACACACGUGCUACAAUGGACAAUACAAAGGGCAGCUAAACCGCGAGGUCAUGCAAAUCCCAUAAAGUUGUUCUCAGUUCGGAUUGUAGUCUGCAACUCGACUACAUGAAGCUGGAAUCGCUAGUAAUCGUAGAUCAGCAUGCUACGGUGAAUACGUUCCCGGGUCUUGUACACACCGCCCGUCACACCACGAGAGUUUGUAACACCCGAAGCCGGUGGAGUAACCAUUUAUGGAGCUAGCCGUCGAAGGUGGGACAAAUGAUUGGGGUG